UUCAGAGUCCGUCGAGAUGAAGUCCCUGGCAGUAUUGGCAUGCGUCGUGGCCGUGGCCGUAGCCACUCCGUCCCUCCGCCAGCAGUGGCAGAACUUCAAGGCUGAGCACGGCCGCCGCUACCGCCAGCGUGCGGAGGAGGCGCUACCGCCUGUCGGUGUUCGAGCAGAACCAGCAGUUCAUCGACGACCAAACGCCAGGUUCGAGAACGGCGAGUUCGUUCACGCUCCAGAUGACCAGUUCGGGCGACAUACAUCCGAAGAGAUCGUGGCCACAAUGAACGGAUUCCUCGGCGCUCCCACCCGUCGACGCGGCCGGCGCCGUCCUGAAGGCUGACGACGAGACUCUCCCCGGAGAAGGUGGACUGGCGCACCAAGGGCGCCGCGUGACGCCCGUCAAGGACCAGAAGCAGUGCGGCUCCUGCUGGGCCUUCUCCACGGUGGGUUCCUGUUCUGGCCAGCACUUCCUGAAGGACGGCAAGCUGGUGAGCCUCUCAGAGCAGAACCUCGUCGACUGCUCCGACAAGUUCGGCAACAUGGGCUGCAUGGGCGGCCUCAUGGACCAGGCCUUCCGCUACAUCAAGGCCAACAAGGGCAUCGACACCGAGGACUCCUACCCGUAUGAGGCUCAGGAUGGCAAGUGUCGCUUCGACGCCUCCAACGUCGGCGCCACCGACACCGGCUACGUGGACGUCGAGCACGGCAGCGAGAGCGCCCUCAAGAAGGCCGUGGCCACCAUCGGCCCCAUCUCCGUGGGCAUCGACGCCUCCCAGUCGACCUUCCACUUCUAUCACACUGGCGUGUACCACGACGACCACUGCUCCUCGACUAUGCUGGACCACGGCGUCCUGGCGGUGGGCUACGGCAGUGACGAGAACGGCGGGGACUUCUGGCUGGUCAAGAACUCGUGGAACACCUCCUGGGGCGACAAGGGAUACAUCAAAAUGUCCCGAAACAGGAACAACAACUGCGGCAUCGCCAGCCAGGCCUCCUACCCGCUGGUGUAGACCGCGAGGUCAAAGGUCAUUUUGGAGAGACCUUUGGUGAUUUUCCUGUGACGCAAUAUGAUCUAGAAGUACAUUGUUAGUUUUA